UAUUUAUUAUAUUCCAUCUUAAAUGAAGAUUCACUCGAAUCAUAUGCUUUACCUGAAACGACACUGAGAGCUGAAAUUGCUGGUCCAUAAUUACCUUGUUUAGGUAUGCAGCAGGUCCCUUUACCAGCCCAAAAUAGGUGAAUUUCGAGAUGGUUUUCUGACACAGUAGCACUGAAGUUUUUUAUAAUAGCUCUGUUAGGCCCUCCCGCCUCCUUUGAUAUGUCAAAAUCCUUCCACCGGAGAGUUCCCUAGAAGAUCGACAAUUAGAGAUAGAAUUAUUAUUUCUCAAUGCAUAAAAAGAGAGAGAGAGAGAGAGAGAUUGUAAUCUCGGAAUCACAUGAUCUCCAGCUCCAAAUUUUUGGUUCAGGGCAUUUGUUUACCUGAACAUAGAUAUCAAAAACACGCCUUCCACGACUCUCCCACCUUUCUGUGCUUGGAUCAGGAAAAUUUGUUUCUGCGAAUAACAAGCUUACAUUAUAAGGUCCAUUCACAAGACCCAGGCCAUAGUAUCUAAGUGAUCCGGCGGAUAUCCUUGACGUCUGAUAAAGCUUUGGAGUCCGGGUGCCCGUCACUUGAUCUUGAGUGUUUAGCACAUAAGAUGCAUUUUCUCUUCCAUUAAACAGACCCACUUUACUAACUGCCCAUUUUUCUGUAUUGGUCACAACAAAGGCCGAUGCGCCAAGAUAUGAGUUAUCACCCUCAUACACUAUGUUAUCAGCUCUCAUUUCUGGACUAGCACAUUUGAUUGAGAAGUUUGCAUCUGCAAAUGCAAAGACAAAAAUCGCUAGCUAUUUUCAGAUUGAAUUCCGACAUCAAAUUUCAACAAUUUUUUUGCAUAAAGGUCAAUAACUGGGUAAUAGGAAAUCAUUCAGGCAGUGUUUUUUUUAUUUACACAUCCAGCACGUUACAAAUAUUUUUCAAUUCUCAUCACAUGGAAACUCACUUUAUCACAUCAAAGCUUUUUAAAGCCAAGAUGGCUUAAUACACCAAAUUUACAAUGUAACUACUCUACAAUUUCGACUGACAGUGGUAACAAAAAUUAUCCCCACUUGCAACAAAGCUACCUGAAGUCAUAUUUAAAACUUCUGUACUACUUCCUGCUCUUAUUAAAGUUUUUUCCUCAGCAAUUCAGAAGUAUAGUUAGACAGGCGUUCUUUCUUCUUAAGUGUGGAGCCACAAUAGCUUAUGAAAAUAUGAAACUGCAAACAGCACAGAGAAGGCAGCUUACAUUGUGGAGCAUUUCUAUUGCAUGUGAAGUUCCUCUGAAGACAGUUCAAUCCUGGAAAGACACUGGCAAGCACAGAGAACAAUUAGUUCACAUUAUCUGUUAACAUGAUUAAAAGAAAAGUAAAGGACCAAAACUCACCUUAUGUUUGAUAUGUCAAAUUUGAAGUUGUUCACUGCCAGAUUCCUAUACAGUUCCAUGCAAUGCAUUAAUUGUAAAAUUUUUGGACAGAGAUGCAAGGGCAGGAGACUUCAUGAAAUUCUCAUACAACUGUUAUAGUAGAAUGAUAAAAGUAAAGAAACUAGGACCAUUGGUUUAGUAUGAGCAAUAAGCUUGACAAGGUCUGAACUCCAGCACAAAGAGGCAAUUCUAGAAAAUGAAGAUGAACGGAGCAUUAUCAUAGUUUAAGAGACAUACAUUUGUAAUUCUGAAUUCACCCACAAUGGAAAAGUUCCUGAUAGAUGAUUAUGAGAUAAAUCUCUGCAGGAAAAAUUUUGUUAAGCACUAGUAAACAAGUUCAAACAUGUGAACCAACGUAUAUAUAUGUUAGACAAAUAAAAAACCUGGCUGAGUAUAUUGUUUUGUUGCCAGAGAAAGAAGCCAGAAGUCACAGCUGAUGCAUGCAUGGAAGAUGAUAAUCACUGGCCUAAAUCUAAAACACUUUCAAAUCGAAACAUGCAACGUAUAUUCUCAUGGUUUGAAUUGCAAGUACUGAGGAGAAAAUCAGUGUUUAUCUGUGGGUAUAAGGGCACAUUGAGGAGCAAGCAUAGGGAUGAAUUUCUAGAAUUUUUCUUUCAAUAAAUCAGAAAGCUGAACCAAAGCUUACAUUUUUUGAAGGUUUUCACUUUUUUGAUCAGGAAGUGUUCCUGACAAACUAUUGUUUCCAAGAAACCUGGCCAUUGAAAGCAGCGUAAGCAGCAUUGGCAAUAACAAAACAAUGACCAAAGUCCAAAAGUAAAAAUCUUGAAUUGAUGAAGGAAAGCUUCAAAGAAUUUACAAGUAUUCAAGAGAAUCGAUAUUGAACAAAGUUGCUGGGAUUUGGCCUGUUAAGUUGUUGAAACUCAAGUCCCUGCAAAAUAUAGAUAAAAAUUUUGGGAAAAAUAUAUAUCAAAAUGAGAAAAGGAAAGUGGCACUAUAUAAUUUAUUUCUUAAUAUCAACUUACAAUAUCUGUAACAUUUGAAGCUCUCCAAUUCCAGAUGGAAUAGUACCAGUGAUCAGAGCAUUUCUUAGGGACCUAUGGAGUAGAAGAACAAAAAACCAACUCAUAACUAAUCAGAGUCAAAAUGAGAAGGCUGCCAAACACAAUGAAAUAUAUAGGCAGUAUACUUACAAGUCAUUUAAGUUCUUCAAACUCAUAACGAAAUCAAGAGAUGAACUCACGUUAUAUAUAUCGCCCAUUUGUCUAAACAAUCAAUUCAAACAUCACGGAUAUGAUUCAUGCUUCCAAAGAGAGAAUGAGAGACCAAGAGAUUGUCAGGAAAAGAUUUACUCACAAGGAUUCUAAUGAAGCCAACUUAGACAAACUGGAUGGGAUAGGACCUUGAAAAGAAUUCCCCUGAAAUCUCCUACAGCAACAUUUUGACAAACAUGUUAGGAAAACUAUCAGAAGCCAAGCAAAAUCUUUAAUGCGCUACACAGAACACAGAUAAUGUAUAUAGUCAAGGAGUUAUACGAAGCAUACAAGGACUUAAGCUUAGUCCAAUUGCCAAUGAAGUCUGGUAUUUUGCCUGUAAAAGGAUUAUCUGAUGCCCACCUGAAAUUUAACAAAUUAAUCAAUUUAGGCAGCACAAUCUUUAUGCCGGAGAGAAACAAAAUGUCAUAUGUAAAAAACUUUGCUUACAGAGUUUGCAUAUUGCGAAGUUUAGCAAAUGUGGAGGGAAUUUCACCACCGGCCCCACAACUGUCUAUGUAACUGUUGAAUUUAUCAAUUGAAAAUUACUUUGUUUCAUAAACCUGCAGCUUUGCUAAAUUGAAAAAAAAAAUGAUAAUGAUCAAAUAUGUAAAAAGAAAGAAAGAAAUUUAGAAACUACAGUUGCUCAAGUUUGGCUAAGUUGCCAAGUUCUGGAGGGAGCGCUCCUGAGAAAUUGUUGGUACCAAAAGCACUGCAAUUUGAAAUUAAAAUUUUUACACUGAUUUAAAAGAAGAAGAAGAAGAAUAAAAAUAAAAAUGAAAUUCCAAUCUUACAGAACAGUUAACUCCUUAAGGUUUCCCAGCUCCCUGGGGACAGGCCCCGAGAAGUCAUUGUGGGAAAAUGACCUGUACACAAAAAUAUAACACUCCGUUACACAACACACAAAGAAUAAAGAAUUUGCAGCCUAAUCCAAAAAUCAAAUCAGAGAAUAUUAGAAAAAGCCAAUUUCAAUACUUACAGAAACAUCAAUCGAGACAAAUUUCCAAUAAAUGAAGGCAAGGGGCCAGUGAAGAAAUUUUGAUCAAUUUUCCUACAAAAUUCAAAGAGAAAUUGUUAAUCAUGUUGAUUACAUAAAUUUGAUUUAUACAUACAAACUGAAGGACAGAUAAUAUAUAUAAGUGACAAAUCCAUACAGAACUGUCAGGUAUUGCAAAGUUACUAGCUCUUCAGGAAUCACCCCUUUUUUGUUUAGUCCAUAUACUCUCCUGUGAAAAAAAAAAAACAAACCAUUAGAUUGCAGAUGCAUCAACCAUUUUAGAAAUUAAUAUUAAUUAACAAGCGCAGAGAUAUACUAAGAGAGCAUUACAGUUUAGUAAUGUGGCAAGUAGCACCAUUGUCAAAGGUGCAGUUACAAACAAUAGCAGGAUUGUUAUUUGGGCUCUCAAAUUCAGAAUCAGUUGCAUUGAGUGCAGAUCCACUGCAUGGGUUUCCACUUAUGUUCCAUAAUGGCGCGGCCGGUGCAUCCCAUUGCUGCAGUAUUGAGUUCAGUGCCCUCACUGCUCAUCAAACACAUGCAUGCUAGUUUGUUACCAAAUGAGAUCAUUUAAUUCCAUAAAUUCAUUAACAUAUUGUGAUGCACCUGCAUGCUUGUAAGCCAAACGCCGCUGAUUUUCAAAAGCAACAGCAAGCUGUUUGUUUUAGAGUGCAUUUGGGAUUGAGAUUCGACAGCUGUAACUUAAAAGUUAUAGUAUUUAAGUGUUUAAUAAAUACUAACUGCUGUAUCUUUUAAGCUAUUUUGAUAUGAUUUUUCACUUAUAUAAUGAAAAAUAUAUUAUAUCUUAAUAAUUUUAUCAAAAUUAUUAUUUAAAAAUUAUAUUCAUUAUAUAUUAUUAAUUUUUAUUUUAUAAUUAUAAUUUUUUUUCCACAACAACUGAAGUUUAAAAGCUGCAGCACCUCAAUCCCAAAUAGACUCUUAAUUAGAGCACACGCAUACUUCACAUGCGUGCUUGCCGUGCAUGCUUAUAUACGGUGGGCACAUAUAAAGUGAAGAAUUGAAGCAGCUCUCACCAUUUUCAUAAUCGAACCAUAAAAAACAAUUGGAAGAUAGAAGAAAUUGAAAGAAAACGAGAGAAAGAAAGAAAAGAAAAGAAAAGAAGAGAUAAAAUAGAAAGAAGAAAAUAUAAGGAGAAAAGAAAUUAAGAAGCCAAGAGUGAAAAUCAAGUAAUAAUGAAAGCUAAUACGGGAAAGUUGAGGGGACAUGGAAUUCAACAGUUAGAUUUAUAUUUCGAGAAUUAGUGGAUAAUGGAUUUAGAAAGUAUGAACAGUUAUGUUAUAAUUUUUAGCAUACUUUUGAGUUUUUAUAUCAGUCGUUAAUUUUUUAUAGUAGUUUUUUAGUCUAAAAUUUUAAAGUGUGGAAAAGGUUUGAAAUUUUUUUUAAAUUACACAUCUUUAAAGAAUUAUGAAAUUAACACUUUAAUACUGUAGGAUUUAAAAGAUUUAUUGGACUUUCUCGCACUUUAAAAUUUAAAAUUAGAAAAUUUCUAUAAUUUUUGAAUCUUGUGUUUAAAAGAAAUUUAAGUUCUUAGGAAUUAACAAAAGCCCCACAAAACAAAACAGUAAUUGAGUCAGGAUUUGUGAGAUGAUUUAAUAGUAUGAUUUAGUAGUAUAUCAUGAUUAUAUGUAUGCUCAUUAUAUGAGUGAUUGAAUCCCUAAAUGUGAUUGCCAAGCACCAUAUGUGUACUCUUCUUGUUAAGUACUUUGCGUAUACAUAUUGAGAGUUAGAGUACUAUACCUGUGUGAUGAAGUUAAAUUCCGUUGGAUAUUAAGAGGUUAUUCCUCACUAUAUUCACGCAAUGAUAAUCCCGACGAGUGCGACAAUUAUUUCCCCUGGGUAUUAUUUAGUGCAUUUUUCUCAUGUAUGAUUUUAUGUUUUCUUAUGUAUUAUGUUCAGUGUAGAAUUAUGUCAUAUGAUUGUGUAUAAUUAUUAGUGCACUACUUUAUUUUAAUAUAUAUAAUUGUAUCUACUCAUUGAACUGCAAGUUCACCAUUUUCUUAUUUAUCCAAAUUUUUCUAGGUUUUCGCAGGGUUUCAUACAGUUCAUUUUCCAAUUAGUUGAGGUUGGACCACGACGUGCAGUGCUGCAUGACUUGCAUUUUAAGCACGUUUAUGCUCAUAUGUAUAUAUUUAAGAUAUAUGCAUAUAUAGUAAGAUGUGAAGUGUGCAAAUUUCAAAUAUGCUUUUGAAUAAGGUAUAGAUGUUAUUAUAUAUUUUAACGUGAUGUAGUCGUUCUUUAGUGUGGGUGCCAUUUUUUUAUGCGGCAUGCUUUUAAACCAUGGUAUUUAAGAGAGUUAUGUUUUUUUUACUCUUUUAAGCCAUACGGUUUAAAAACGUGAUAUGCAUUAAAAAAAAAAAAAAAAGAGGGCGCUUGCACCUGAGAAUCAUUUUCAGGUUCGAGUACUUUUUUUUUUUUAAUGUGAACACACUGCUAAACCGUGCGAUUUAGUAGCGUGUCUAGAGUUGACAAAAACACGGCCUUGAAGUCUGGUCGACAUGAGUUGGGCCUGAAUAUGGGUUGAAAAAUAUAAAGUCGACACAAAUUGGAUCUAAAUAAGGGCCUAGCUUUUUAAUUUAUACAAAAAAAAAUUAAAUUUAAAUAAAAAACUCAAAAUAUUAAAUUAAUAUUUUUUUCAUAUUAGUAUUUGUGAUUUAUUAUGUUGUGUUAUUUUGUGUAUUAGACUAUUAUUCUAUUAUCUAUUGGAUAAUUAUUUUUUAUUUAAAUAUUUUUUAUUUUAUUAAAAAAUUAUUUUAUAUUUAAUGGAACAAGCCCAAGUCUGGCUCAAGGCCUGUCCAUCCAAACUUGGACUUAUCUAGGCUUGUUGUCUACAAUAUGGACAUGGGCUCAGGCUUGGAAAAAACUUAAAUAAGUCCAUAUUUUGCCAACCUAAACGUGUUUGUAUUGACUCUAUUAAAUUGCACAAUUUAACAAUGCAUUCGUAUGAAAAAAAAAAAGAGCUCACACAUUAGAGAAUGGCUAUAUAUGUACACUUUAGAGUUAAUGCACUUUAGAUAUGAUUAUAUAUAAAAUCAAUAUCUGUUUUUUUUUUAUUAUUAAUUAAAGAGUGAAUACGUACAACAAAUUUUAAAUUAGAAGAUUUUGAAUUCCCUCGUGUACGAUGUAAAAGUAUAAACACAGUUAACAAAUUUGAUAAAAAUUAAAUUAAGAGUUUCUAGCAAAGAAUGCCAAAAUUCAGUCCUGCCUCUAAAUUAAUUAAGUUAUCGCCUUUUUUUUUUUUUGGCCCUUUUGCGGUGGGGGUGGUGGCGUAUGGAAUGAACAUUUAUAUCGUACUGUUUGGGAUAUAAUUUGGAAGGUUUAGGAUCACUCUUUUUCAGAACGUUUCAACUCAUUUAUUAAGAAGGAUCCACAUGCUUGACUAAUAGGGGCUUGAAACCAGGCAGCGAAGAUAGUCCUUAAUUAUUGUAUGUAUCUAUGAUAUAUCUCAAUGUGAAAAUUUCAAUUAUUAUAAUUAUUAUAUUGAAAAAAAAAAGUGGUCCCAUUAGAUGAAGAAAUUAUUGAAGUUAAAUAGUUAAAGGUCUUUAUAUAUGUAGCCUCGUUUGUUUGAAGUCUAAAGAGAUAAUAAUGUGAAAUAUAUGAUUUAGGAAAAUAAAUUGGAAUUGCACAACUACUUUCACUUUUUGGAAACAGAAAAAGUCCACGAUUUUUUUUUUAGGAAUUUUAGGACUCAGAAUUAUAUAAAUAUAAAAUUUUAGAAAGUUAAUUAAUAUAAAAGCUCACUGUGCAUAUAAAGUUAAUUGUUUUCAGAAAAGAACCAAGCUACUACACAUACACAUAAUUAAUUUAUGUCAAAUUAAACAAAGAAAAGAAAAAAGAAAAAGAAAAGAAAAGAAAACGGCGGGCGGUGGCUGGCUAGCAAGAGAAUUAAUUAACGAGGAGAAAUUAAAUGUGUUAAAGAAAAUGGAUAUAUAUACCUUCAGCAGGGUCGGUCGUAGCAUUGGUGUUAUGUUGAGCGUUGGAUAAACAAAUUAGCAGGAAGAGAUGAGCGAAUAGUAGUGAGGAAGAAAGCAGCAGCUUCAACGAUCCCACUCCAAAAUUCAUCUUCAUUUCUCGUUACAAUUUACAAACCCAGAAUAAGGAGAAUUUAAUGCUAAUUUUUGAAUCUAUAGUUUUGUUAAAGUUAAAGAAUAUGUAGAAGAAGAAGAAGCUGGCCAGAGUCAGUCAAUAUUUGUCUUUUUCUCCAGUGUCGUGCAAGCAUUUUAAGUCGUUCCAUCUAUCAAAGAAAAGUCGUUCAAAAACAAAAUAAAAAAUAAAAUAAAAUAAAAAUGUAUCAGAAUUGACCAAAUUCAACUCUCAUAUGUGCAUAAUAAAAACAAUAUAAUACAUUGCAUCUUAACCAAUACGAUGAAAUCUUAGUGUCUCUUUCCCACCCUCACCGGAUUAUUAUCAUCCACAGCACUUUUGCCGACGCAAACUCAACAUAAAAUUGUAUCAACAUAUUCAAUUUAGAAGAACGCAGAGUGUUACUCCCAGGGACACAGUACAUUUGUACACACCCACAGCAGAAGAGGGGGAAAACAAUAUCUGCACAUGCGGAAGAAGCAAAGCAAUGAAUUAAUCAGAGUCUAGACGUUGGCUGAAUUGUCGGGCUUGAAUUUAGUAGCAGCAGCAGCAGGAGGGGAUGGGUAAGUGAAUGUAGUAGCUUCACUGCCUGUGCCUGGCUGUCAAGGAAGCUCAUAUUUGCAAGAGCAGAGGAUCACAGCAGCAGCCACAUUCAGUUACGAGUUGAUGAUAUGGCAUGCCAGCUGGAGUCUGGUGGUUAUGUAAAUAGUUGUGCAUGUGUUAAUUAGCUUAAGCUGUUAUGAUUAGUUGUUAGAAUCAGUUAAUUAGCUGUAGCUAAUUACAACUAUCUAAGCUGAGCUUCAGCUUAGUAUAAAUAGCAACAGCAUUGUGUAUAUCAUUAAUAACAUGAUUAAUGAAAAUGAUGUUCUAGAAAACUCUUAGAUUCCGUUCUUAUUUUCUCAUUGAUUUUCUCAGUUGCCAAACAAUAUUUUCAUUCUUCAACUUGGUAUCAGAGCUAGUAGCAAUGGUUUCAGUCCAUCUAGUUUCUUUUUCUUCUCAAGCGCCAGUCAAUCACACAACUGUUAACUCAACAAAUGUGACAUUCACUUUCAAUACACCUAUUAAGCUAGAUCAAUCCAAUUAUUUGAUUUGGCGAUCUCGAGUUCUUGCUUUAAUUCGUGGCAACAGACUUGAGAAAUUCAUUGAUGACUCAACCACUCCACCUCCUUCACACAUUGCUCAAAGAAUUAGAGAUGAUCUGAGAUCUGUAGAGAAUCUAGACUUUGUAACUUGGAGAUCACAAGAUCAGGUGCUUCUUGGCUGGUUGCUUUCUUCAAUGAGUGAAGGUAUCAUUAGUCUAGUUUUCAAUCUAGAGACUUCUCAUGAGGUAUGGAAAGCUAUUGAAGUUCAAUUUGGAUCACAAUUUAAAUCUAGGCUUCUACACUUGAGAUAUAUGAUGAACUCAACUAGGAAAGAUGAUCUAAAAAUUACUGAUUAUUUCAUUAAGAUGAAAAAUAUUGUUGAUAAUAUGGCUGCAGCAGGAAAUGCAUUAAGUGAUGAUGAUUUAAUUCUGCAUAUACUCUUUGGCUUAGGUCCAGAUUAUAACUCUAUUGCUACCUACAUUACUGGACAAGUAAGAGUGAGGAAAAUGAAUGUAAACGAAGCUUAUGCUAUGCUCCUAACUCAAGAAGUUAGGAUUGAACAACAAACUCAUAUGCUGGCUAAUACAGAUGUGAAACAAAAUUUUGAGGCUAAUCUUGCUCACAACAGAGGUUAUAAAAGGGGAAAUAUGUCAGGAGGAAAAGGUUUUGGUGGCUUUGGAUAUAAUUCUGGCUAUGGAAACAUUAACAGUGCUGGCUAUAAAGGAGGUUAUGGAGGCUCUGGAUUUAAUGCUAACAGUGGAAAUGCUUAUGGCACCAAUCAUCAGUUCAAAGCUUAUCAAGGAGAUAAUCAGAGAGGUUGAGGAGGAGGUAACUGGAAUUAAAAUGCUUGAAAUAGUGGAUUUAACAAUAGUAGACCGCUUGGAAACAUUAAACCUCAGUGGAAUGUCUCUAAGCCAACCUGUCAAAUCUGUUUCAGAACAGGUCACACUGUUAAUAUUUGCUAGAAACUUGAAGAGUUUAUUGCAUCUGGAGCUUACAGACCACCACCAAACAGAAAUCCAAAAUCUACAUAUUUGGCUAAUAUGGAGGGACCUGCUGAUGCAAAUUAGUAUCUGGAUAGUGGUGCAACACACCAUCUGACAAAUGAUAUCAACAAUAUGCAUGUUUCUAAAGCUUUUGUAGGUACAUCUAAACUUUUUGUUGGCAAUGGUGCUGGAUUAAAUAUAACACACAUUGGAAGUGCUGCAUCGAAAUCAUAUAACUCCAAUAAUGCCUCCUUUAACUCUUAAACUAAAUGAUAUCCUUUUAGUGCCACAAAUUACUAAAAACCUCAUUAGCAUCUCUAAGCUCACAAAAGAUAAUGACGUUGUGAUAGAGUUUACUGAUAACUUUUGUUUUGUGAAGGACAAGGUGAGGAAUUUGAUCAUACUGCAGGGCAAGGCUGAAAAAUAUUUAUACAAAUUGCUAUUGGUUGCAUCUAAUAAGAUAGUCUCUUCUACUUCUAAUCAAAGCUAUGUUGUGGAGUUAAUUGUAUCAACUACUCCUCUUUCAAUGUUUUCAGUUGUCAAUUCUACUAUUUCAAAUAACACCUCUUGCCUGUAUACUGCAGCAACUUCUUGUAAAAAUUGAGUGUUUGUUAAGUACAUCUGUACUGCAUCAAAGAUUGGGAUAUCUAUCUUCUAAGAUCUUGAAUCAUGUAAUCAAAUCAUGUUCAUCUCUCAAUCUUGUCAAUAAGAAUAAAACCUUUUAUUUAUGUGAUGCUUGUAAAAUAGGAAAAAUGCACAAGCUUCAUUUUCCAGCUACUGAUAUCAAAACAAAGUCUCCCCUGGAAAUAUUACAUACUGAUUUAUGGGGACCAGUCCCUGUGAUUUCAUUACAAGGCUACGUAUAUUAUGUAAGCUUUAUUGAUGAUUUCACAAGAUUUACUUGGAUAUUUCCUUUGAAAACCAAAAGUAAAACAUUGUCAGUCUAUAAAAUUUUCAAAAACCAAAUUGAAAAACAACUUGACAGACCUAUAAAAUGUCUUCAAUCAUACCGGGGUGGAGAAUUUAGAUCCUUUGUUAACUUUCUUCACACUGAGGGAAUUCACUUUAGACAUUUAUGUUCAUAUACUCAUAACCAAAAUGGAAUUGUAGAGAGAAAUCAUAGACAUAUUACCAAACUUAGUCUUACUCUACUUGCACAAGCAACUUUACCUAUUAAAUUCUAGUGGGAUUCUUUCCAUACAGCCACAUACAUCAUAAACAGAUUACCCACCCCAAUUCUAUCAAUGAAAUCUCCUUAUGAAUCUAUCUAUCAUCUUCCUCCAGAUUACAAAUUCUUAAGAACAUCUGGAUGUUCAUGUUUUCCCUUUCUUAGAAACUACAAUCAACACAAGUUUCACUCUCAUACAUCUAAAUGUAUUUUCCUGGGGUAUAGUCAUUUGCAUAAGGGUUACAAAUGUGUCAAUCCCUCUGGUAAAAUCUAUAUAGCUAGUCAUGUUAUUUUUUUAUGAAACCUCAUUUCCAUAUUCAUAUAUUUUCAGCUCAUAUUCUCCAUCCAAAUCUUCUGAAUUUCAAUACAAUCUUCUUCAACAGUAUAUUAUUCAUGUUUCCAAUAGCAAUUUAAACACCUUUGAAGUCGAUACUGUAGAUAAUGAUACAUAUUCUCAUCACCUUCAUACCAUAUCUUCACCACUCUUUCACAAUACAUCAUCUCAACCCUCACCACCUGCUACUUUAUCCCAUUCAGCCAUAACUUCUUAACCAACUCAACCAAUUCCCUUUAUACCUCUAACUGAUACAACACAAAAUACAUCAUCCUUACAACCCAUCAUAUCUCACUCUCAAAUUCAACCAACACACUUAUCUAAACCUAAACCAAUUCUCUCCACACAUAAAAUGAUCACUAGAGCAUAAGCUGAGAUAUUCAAACCGAAAGCCUACUUAACAAAUCACAACAGCCCGGAACCAUCUACUGUUUCAGAAGCAUUAUCUGAUCCCAAACGGAAAGCAGCAAUGCAAACUGAAUAUAAUGAUAUGAUUAAAAACAAAACUUGGAAUCUUGUGGCUUUGUGCUCAACCUAUAAACUAGUUGGGUGCAAAUGGGUGUUCAGAACCAAGUACAACAUAUAUGGCUCAGUUUCAAAAUAUAAAGCUAGGUUGGUAGCCAAGGGAUUUCAUCAAACUGCAUGUAUUGAUUAUUCAGAAACAUUCAAUCUUGUAAUGAAGUCCUCAACAAUGAGAUUAAUUCUUAGCCUAGCUGUCAUGAAAGGUUAGACAAAUUGAUGUCAAUAAUGCCUUUUAAAUGGGGAUUUGUCAGAGGAUGUGUAUAUGAUUCAGCUUGAGGGUUUUGUAUCCAAAGAAGGCUACAUAUUCAAGCUUAACAAGGUACUAUAUGGAUUGAAACAAGCUCCAAGAGCUUGGUAUGAUAAACUGAAAAGCUAUCUUACUACUUGAAAAUUCUUCAAUUCUAAAGCUGACACGUCUCUCUUUGUUGAACAUGAUGAAAAAGGCAUUAUUAUUGUCUUAAUCUAUGUUGAUGAUAUUUUGGUUACUGGCCCUGACUCAGCAUUACUUGAAGAUUUCAUUAUUAAACUCAGUAAGGUUUUUGCUCUCAAGGACUUAGGAUUAGUGGCCUAUUUUCUUGGAGUAGAAGUUUGUUACACAACUCAUGGAAUGCAUCUUUCACAGACAAAAUAUAUUAAGGAUUUGUUAAGUAAAGCCUCAAUGCAAAAUUGCAAAGGAUCAGAUACACCUUUUAGUACUGGUUUCAAACUGGAGAAAAAUGUUAAGGGUCCAUUGGGGCAAGAAUUUGAAGAACCAGCACUUUAUGGAAGCGUCAUUGGGGGACUUCAGUACUUAAUUCUCACCAGGCCUGACAUUGCAUAUUCUGUACAUAAACUCAGCCAGUAUCUUAGCAAUCUUACACUCCAGCACUGGUUAGCAUGCAAGAAAGUUCUCAGGUAUCUUCAAGCUACAACCACUCAUGGUUUAUACAUUCAAAAUGAGGGAACACUUGGAAUUGCAGGUCUAACAGGUUACUCUGAUGCUAACUUGGCACGUGAUGUUGAUGAUAAAAAAUCUAUUGGAGCUUACUGUAUUUACCUUGGUAAUAAUCUGAUUUCCUGGUCAUCAAAAAAGCAAGUUAUUGCAGCUAAGUCCAGCACAAAGAGUGAAUACAGGGCACUAUCUUCAGCAAGUUCAGAACUCUCUUGGUUGCAAUCCCUACUAUCAGAGCUUAAUAUUGUGCAAUUACCAACUCCAAUUCUUUGGUGUGACAAUCAGAGUGCUGGAGAAUUAGCCCGAAAUCAUAUUCUUCACUCUAAAUCUAAACACAUUGAAUUGGGUGUUCAUUACAUUAGAGACAAAGCGCUUGGAAAAGAAUUAGAAGUAAAAUACAUUCCUACUGAAGAACAAGUUGUUGAUGUCCUUACUAAAGCUCUGUCAUUUAUCAAGGUUUACUACUUUUGAUUCAAGCUCAAUGUCAUCAACAGGCCAUUGAGCUUGAGGGGGGGAUGUUAAGGAAGCUCAUAUUGCAAGAUGGUCAGCAGAGCAGAGGAUCACAGCAGCAGCCAUAUUCAGUUACGAGUUGAUGACAUGGCAUGCCAGCUAGAGCCUGGUGGUUAUGUAAAUAGUUGUGCAUGUGUUAAUUAGCUUAAGCUGUUAUGAUUAGUUGCUAGAAUUAGUUAAUUAGCUGUAGCUAAUUACAACUAUCUGAGUUGAGCUUCAACUUAGUAUAAAUAGCAACAGCAUUGUACAUAUUAUUAAUAACGUGAUUAAUGAAAAUGAUGUUCUAGAACACCCUUAGAUUCAGUUCUAAUUUUCUCACUGAUUUUCUCUGUUGCCAAACAAUAUUUUCGUUCUUCAACUCUGGCGGAGGCGUUGGCACCCCAAAAACUUGUGGAUUGGUUCUGAUAUCUUGUCUUCCUCUAGCUCUUCCCAAGUAAAAGCACCCAAAUCCAAGCAAUAGGCUGAACAACAUCAACGGAAUGAUAUCACCACCACCAUACCCAUCUUUAUUUGAUUUGAUGAUCAGAAAUCGCAGCAGAAGAGAGGUUUAUAUAAGAAUAAGAGAAUGAGAGAGAGCUAUGAAUGAACUAUGAUGAUGAUGAUGACGAUGAUACGGAGGUUUCGGAUUCUCUCUUCUUUUAAGAACAUGUUUCUUUCUUAACGGUUGGCUUAACGUUCAAGCUCUAACGGUUACUUUUAUUGUUGGGCCAGUUAAAUAAUUCUCCUAAUACAAAACAACGUUAAAUAAAUAUUGAGAUGGCUAUUCAUCCCGCAAUUAUAAAGGUAUAGUAUUUUGUUCAUUCUUGUUUAAAAAAAAAAAAAAGACUCUAUAGAGUUCAAUGUAUGGAGCCUUCUCAUGGUGUUCGGAUUCAACAUGUGCCAAAGUCCUCUAAUCAGCCGACCCAUUUUCUAUCUAAACUAACUUUUAACUGAAAGCUAUGAUUUCAUAAUUUUUAAACCAGUGUACUGGAAAAUGAAGCGAAAAAGAAGAUGGAAAGAUGAAGAAUAAUAAUACAACAUGCUUGUUACCUCAAUACAUUAAUAAGGGUAAUUAACGGUCUACAAAUACAUUUUGUUUAUUAUUUUGAGGACUUGUUUCAUUUUAUUUACGUGCAUUGAUGUCUUCCCAAAAUCAGAAGUUUUUAAUGAACUUCGACAAUGUUGCCUGCCACUCGUAGUCAUAGAACAGUAUUUCGUGCUGCACAUAUGCAUGUACUGUAAUUGCUAGAAAUAGCUCGACGGGAGAAAUUUAAGGCACCAUAAGAAGCAGAUCAUUCCACCACCACAAGGCUGCUUUUGUUUCAGAAACUGUCAAAUAGUAAGAUCACAGCCGCGACGCGACAAAAAUAUUUCUCACCUCCCUUCUGCUAUAAUAUCACUUAGCUGUGUGACAUUUACUGGGGAGACUAAUGCAUUAGUUCCUUCACUAUGAUCAUCAACUGGAUUUUCUCUUUCGCUUUUCUCCUUGCUGUUACUUCUUUUAUUAGAUGAUGAAGGCGUUGGCGUGUCUUCGUUCAAAAAGCUUGCUGUUAUAUCUUUAAAAUCCCAAUCUGUCAAAUAACUUGGCCUUGAAAUAACUGUGCCAACUUCUACAUCCCCAGCAAGCAUGGCCACAACGCGUGACAUUGGUGGCCUCAUCAUUGGUGAUGCUUGAGUGCACAAGAGAGCUACUCCUAUCACCCGAAGAGCUUCCUUGUCGUUAAACUCUGUUAAUGUAGGAUCUACAAGCCCCAAACUUUGAUUAUUUUCAUGGAGAUUCCAAGCCUAGAAACGUCAUAUAGACAAUAAUUCAGAUGAAGAUUGAAAGAAUUAAGUUUCUUUAACCAGAAGAAUGCAGAGAUAAGAAAGAAAAGGAAGCAGAAUGAAGUUCAAGAUUAUUUUCUUCACCCAUUCGAGAAGAUAAAUCUUUUCCGUAUCCAAACUGUUGUCAGAGUUUGCUCUUCCACUUAUCAUCUCCAACGCAACAACGCCAAAACUGAAAACAUCGGCCUUCUCUGUCAAGUGUCCGCGCAUUGCAUACUCCGGUGCCAAAUAUCCACUACAAGCUCAAUAGUUACUGAUCAAAAUCUCCAAACUCCAUUGUGUCCAAAAAUUGAAAGAUAAGGCGUGUGUGGAAUUAUCAUUUUUGGAAGAAUGGAAUGAAGAAAUGUUGAAGGAGAUUACAUGGUCCCUGCAACUCUUGUGCUGAUGUGGGUUUUCUUGUCAUCAAACAGCUUUGCCAAUCCAAAAUCUGAUAUCUUGGGGCAGAGCUCUGCAUCAAGUAAAAUAUUACUUGCUUUGACAUCUCGAUGUACAAUCCUAGGCCUGGAUUCUUCGUGAAGAUAAGCCAGCCCUCUUGCUGUUCCCAAGCAUAUACUGAACCUGGUAGGCCAAUCCAGACGCAAUUCAUGGUCUCCUGCAGAAAUGUCGGCUGCAGUGGUUAGAAAUUUAUGGAGUUACAGAAGGGCAAAUUGAUAAUUCUAGGGUAAUUUAUCUGCAUGAGGUCUCACUGAGACAUUGUCAAUCAGCUUUAGGAUAGUGAUUGUGGCUAAUUUGCUGUUAUUGACAUUGUCUAAACAACAGAUUUUGGAUUUAAGAUUACAAAAUAGAUCAUGCAAUUUCCAAAAGUCAGUGACUCAGCACUUUCUUCUUUGAAUUCUUUGCCUCAGCAACCAAGUUAAAACACGGCGUUUGCGCUAUUUUCUACUAAUUAGUAGUAAGAAUGAAUUGAUUAUCAUACAGUAAGAAUGAAUUGAUAAUCAUACCGAACAAUACUUGAUCGAGGCUUUUGUUUUCAAGAUACUCAUAAACAAGGAGGCGCCUGGCUCCUUCAAUGCAGCAUCCAUACAAUCUCACAAGAUUGCGAUGUUGCACUGCAGAUAUGGUAGCAAUCUCAUUUACAAAUUGAUUCUUCCCUUGGUGAGAUGCUAUUGAAAGUUGCUUCACAGCUAUUACUCUCCCAUCAGAUAGAGUACCCUGUCAAGUACAACAUUUGGCAAUUUGAAAACAUAUCGACUACAUCCUAGUGAAAAUUGCUUUGUUGUCUAGUUGCAAUGACAGGCUAUGAUCACCCAUUACAAGUACUGGAUGGCAACGCUAGGAUGAAAGAAAACUAUCAAUUGGCUGAAAUCUUAAUAUGUAUAGUUACCUUGUACACAGGUCCAUAUCCUCCCUCUCCAAGCUUGUUUGAAGGGUCAAAGUCUUUUGUUGCAGAUCUCAACUCAGCAUAGCUGAAAAUGUUUGGUUUAGAGCCUAUCCCAACUAGCACUGCAGGUUCAACCAAGACAAAAAUUAUGGACAGAGUAUAGGAUGGGAUACCAUAACUGUUCGUGAAUAUCAAAAUUACAAAAUAAUGAAGGACUUAUAUUACAAAAGAUGAAUUAAGCAGAACAUUUACCAAUAUGGAAUUACAAAUUCAUUGAGUUUCAUGAACAAGCUUGCGAAACUACUAUUACAUAUUGUAAAAUUGUCAAUGGACUCUUCUUACCUUCCUCAUCAUCGUUGUCUUUUUCUCUCCGCAUGUAGAACACUAUAGAUAUCACUACCGAUCCUAAAAUUCCGAGAGGGACUGCAAUACCAACAAUCAAACCUGUGUGACUCUUCUUCCCUGGAGUACUUGGGGGUAAUCCACUUGCAGUUGGUGGGAAAGCUGAGCAGAAAAAACUCAGUUAUUACCAGCUGGAAGAGGCAUAUAAGCCAUUUUAUUUAUUAUAUUCCAUCUUAAAUGAAGAUUCACUCGAAUCAUAUGCUUUACCUGAAACAACACUGAGAGCUGAAAUUGCUGGUCCAUAAUUACCUUGUUCAGGUAUGCAGCAGGUCCCUUUACCAGCCCAAAAUAGGUGAAUUUCGAGAUGGUUUUCUGACACAGUAGCACUGAAGUUUUUUAUAAUAGCUCUGUUAGGCCCUCCCGCCUCCUUUGAUAUGUCAAAAUCCUUCCACUGGAGACGUCCCUAGAAGAUAGACAAUUAGAGAUAGAAUUAUUAUUUCUCAAUGCAUAAAGAGAGAGAGAGAGAGAGAGAGAGAGUUGUAAUUUCGGAAUCACAUGAUCUCCAGCUCCAAAUUUUGGUUCAGGGCAUAUGUUCACCUGAACAUAGAUAUCAAAAACACGCCUUCCAAGACUCUCCCACCUUUCUGUGCUUGGAUCAGGAAAAUUUGUUUCUGCAAAUAACAAGCUUACAUUAUAAGGUCCAUUCACAAGACCCAGGCCAUAGUAUCUAAGUGAUCCGGCAGAUAUCCUUGACGUCUGAUAAAGCUCUGGGGUCCUGGUGCCAGUCACUUGUGCUAGAGUGUUUAGCACAUACGCUGGAUUUUCUCUUUCAUUAAACAAACCCACUUUACUAACUGCCCAUUUUUCUGUAUUGGUCACAACAAAGGCCGAUGCGCCAAGAUAUGAGUUAUCACCCUCAUACACUAUGUUAUCAGCUCUCAUUUCUGGACUACCACAUUUGAUUGAGAAGUUUGCAUCUGCAAAUGCAAAGACAAAAAUUUCUAGCUAUUUUCAGAUUGAAUUCCGACAUCAAAAUUUCACCAACAUUUUUGCAUAAAAGUCAAUAACUGGGUAAAGAGAAAUCAUUCAGGCAAUUUUUUUUUUUUUUUUUAAUUACACAUCCGGCACUCUACAAAUAUUUUUCAAUUCUCAUCACAUGCGAACUCUCUUUAUCACAUCAAAGCUUUUUAAAGCUAAGAUGGCUUAAUACACCAAAUUUAUAAUGUAACUACUCUACAAUUUCGACUGACAGUGGUAACAAAAAUUGUCCCCACUUGCAACACAGCUACCUGAAGUCAUAUUUAAAACUUCUGUACUACUUCUUGCUCUUUUUUUCCUCCGCAAUUCAGAAGUAUGGUUAGACAAGCGUUCUUUCUUCUAAAUGUGAAACUACAAUAACUUAUAAAAAUAUGAUACUGCAAACAGCAGACAGAAGGCAGCUUACAUUGUGGAGCAUUUCUAUUGCACGGGAAGUUCCUCUGAAGACAGCUCAAUCCUGGAAAGACACUGGCAAGCACAGAGAACAAUUAGUUCACAUUAUCUGUUAGCAUGAUUAAAAGAAAAGUAAAGGACCAAAACUCACCUUAUGUUUGAUAUGUCAAAUUUGAAGUUGUUCACUGCCAGAUUCCUAUACAGUUCUAUGCAAUGCAUUAAUUGUAAAAUUUUUGGACAGAGAUGCAAGGGCAACAGACUUCAUGAAAUUCUCAUACAACUGUUAUAGUUAAAUGAUAAAAGUAAAGAAACUAGGACCAUUGGUUUAGUAUGAGCAAUAAGCUUGACAAACUCUGAACUCAAGCACAAAGAGGCAAUUCUAGAAAAUGAAGACGAACGGAGCAUUAUCAUAUUUUAAGAGACAUACAUUUGUAGUUCUGAAGUUGCCCACGAUGGAAAAGUUCCUGAUAGAUGAUUAUGAGAUAAAUCUCUGCAGGAAACAUUUUGUUAAGCACCAGUAAAUGAGUUCGAACAUGUGAACCAACCAACAUAUACAUAUGUUAGACAAGUAAAAAAUCUGGCUGAGUAUAUUGAUUGGUUGCCAGAGAAAGAGGCCAAAAGUCACAACUGAUGCACGCAUGGAAGAUGAAAAUCACUGGCCUAAAUCUAAAACACUUUCAAAUCGAAACAUGCAAUGUAUAUUCUCAUGGUUUGAAUUGCAAGUACAGAAGAGAAAAUCAGUGUUUAUGUCUGGAUAUAAGGGCACAUUGAGGAACAAGCAUAGGGAUGAAUUUCUAGAAUUUUUCGUUAAAUAAAUCAGAAAGCUGAACCAAAGCUUACAUUUUUUGAAGUUUUUCACUUUUUUCAUCAGGAAGUGUUCCCGACAAACUAUUGUUUCCAAGAAACCUGGCCAUUGAAGCAGUAAAAGGAGCAUCAGCAAUAACAAAACAAUGACCAAAGUCCAAAAGUAAAAAUCUUGAAUUGAUGAAGGAAAGCUUCAAAGAAUUUACAAGUAAUUAAGAGAAGAUAUAUUGAACAAAGUUGCUGGGAUUUGGCCUGUUAAGUUGUUGAAACUCAAGUCCCUGCAAAAUAUAGAUAAAAAUUUUGGGAAAAAUAUAUAUCAAAAUGAAAAAAGGAAAGUGCCACUAUAUAAUUUAUUUCUUAAUAUCAACUUACAAUAUCUGUAACAUUUGAAGAUCUCCAAUUCUAGAUGGAAUUGUACCAGUGAUCAGAGCAUGUCUUAGGGACCUAUGGAGCAGAAGAACAAAAAACCAACUGAUAACUAAUCAGUUUCAAAAUGAAAAGGCUGCCAAACACAAUGAAAUAUAUAGGAAGUAUACUUACAAGUCAGUUAAGUUCUUCAAACUCAUUACGAAAUCAAGAGAUGAACUCACAUUAUAUAUAUCGCUGAUUCGUCUACAGAAUCAAUUCAAACAUCACGGAUAUGAUUCAUUCUUCCAGAGAGAGAAUGAGAGACCAAGAGACUGUCAGAAAAAGAUUUACUCACAAGGAUUCUAACGAAGCCAACUUAGACAAACUGGACGGAAUAGGACCUUGAAAAGAAUUCCCUUGAAAUCUCCUACAGCAACAUUUUGACAAACAUGUUAGGAAAGCUGUCAGAAGCCAAGCAAAAUCUUUAAUGCCCUACACAGAACACAGAGAAUGUAUAUAGUCAAGGAGUUUUUUGAAGCAUACAGGGACUUGAGCUUAGUCCAAUUGCCAAUGAAGUCAGGUAUUUUGCCUGUAAAAGGAGCGUCUGAUGCCCACCUGAAAUUUAACAAAUUAAUCAAUUUAGGCAGCAUAAUCUUUAUACAAGAGGAGAAACAAAAUGGCAUAUGUAAAAAACUUUGCUUACAGAGUUUGCAUACUACGAAGUUUAGCAAAUGUAGAGGGAAUUUCACCACCGGCCCCACAACUGUUUAUGUAACUGUUGAAUUUAUCAAUUGAAAAUUACUUUGUUUCAUAAACCUGCAGCUUUGCUAAAUUGAAAAAAAAAAUGAUAAUGAUCAAAUAUGUAAAAAGAAAGAAAGAAAUUUAGAAUCUACAGUUGCUCAAGUUUGGCUAAGUUGCCAAGUUCUGGAGGGAGUGUUCCUGAGAAAUCGUUGGUACCAAAAGAACUGCAAUUUGAAAUUAAAAGUUAUACACUGAUUUAAAAGAAGAAGAAGAAAAAAUUGUUGAAAAAGAAAUGCCAUCUUACAGAAUAGUUAAUUCCUUAAGGUUUCCUAGCUCCCUGGGGACAGGCCCCGAGAAUCCAUUGUGGGCAACUGACCUGUACACAAAAAUAUAGCACUGCAUUAGACAACACACAAAGAAUAAAUAAUUUGCAGCCUAAUCCAAAAAUCAAAUCAGAGAAUAUUAGAAAAAGCCAAUUUCAAUACUUACAGAAGCAUCAAUCGAGACAAAUUUCCAAUAAAUGAAGGCAAGGGGCCAGUGAAGAAAUUUUGAUCAAUUUUCCUACAAAAUUCAAAGAGAAGUUGUUAAUCGCGAUGAUUACGUAAAUUUGAUUUAUACAUACAAACUGAAUGGCAGAUAAAAUAUCUGAGUGAAAAAUCCAUACAGAAAUGUCAGGUACUGCAAAGUUACUAGUUCUUCAGGAAUCACCCCUUUUUUGUUUAGUGCAUAUACUCUCCUGUGACCAAAAAAAAAAAAAAAACAAACAAACCAAUCCAUUAGAUUGCAGCUGCAUCAGCGAUUUCAGAAAUUAAUAUUAAUUAACAAGCGCAGAGAUAUAUUAAGAGAGCAUUACAGUUUAGUAAUGUGGCAAGUAGCACCAUUGUCAAAGGUACAGUCACAAACAAUAGCAGGAUUGUUAUCUGGGCUCUCAAAUUCAGAAUCAGUUGCAUUUAGUGCAGAUCCACUGCAUGGCUCUCCACUUAUGUUCCAUAAUGGCACCGCCGGUGCAUCCCAUUGUUGCAGUAUUGAGUUCAGUGCCCUCACUGCUCAUCAAACACAUGCAUGCAUGGUAGCUUUGUUACCAAAUGAUAUCAUUUAAUUCCAUAAAUUCAUUAAUAUAUUGUGAUGCACCUGCACGCUUGUAAGCAAAACGCGGCUGAUUUUCAAAAGCAACGGCAAGCUGUUUGCUUUAAUUAGAGCACACGCAUGCUUCACCUGCGUGCUUGUCAUGCAUGCUGAUAGACGGUGGGCACAUAUAAAGAUAGAAGAAAUUGAAAGAAAACGAGAGAAAGAAAGAAAAGAAAAGAAGAGAUAAAAUAGAAAGGAGAAAAUAAAAGCAAAAGAGAAAGAAAAUAAAAGGAGAAAAGAAAUUAAGAAGCCAAGAGUGAAAAUCAAGUAAUAAUGGAAGCUAAUAAGGGAAAGUUACGGGGACAUGAAUUCAACAGUUACAUUUAUAUUUCGAGAAUUAGUGGAUAAUGGAUUUAGAAAGUAUGAACAGUUAUGUUAUAAUUUUUAGCAUACUUGUGAGUUUUUGAGUUUUUAUAUCAGUUGUAAAUUUUUUAUAGUAGGAUUUUAGUCCAAAUUUUAAAGUGUAGAAAAAGUCUGGAAAAUCUUUAAAAUUGUAUAGUUUUAAAGAAUUAUGAAAUUAAUACUUUAAAAUUGUAGGGUUUUAAAGUUUUGUCGGACUUUCUCGCACUUUAAAAUUUUGCAUUGAAAAUUUUUUAUAAUUUUUUAAUCUUGUGUUUAAAAGAAAUUCAAGUUUCUAGGAAUUAACAGAAGCCCCACAAAAAAAAACAGUAAUUGAGUCAGGAUUUGUGAGAUGAUUUAAUAGUAUGAUUUAGUAUCAUAUCAUGAUUAUAUGUAUGCUCAUUAUACGAUUGAUUGAGUCUGAUUGCCAAGCACCAUAUGUGUACUCUUCAUGUUAAGUGCUUUGUGUAUGCAUAUUGAGAGUUAAAGUACUCUACCUGUGUGAUGUAGUUAAAUUCCGUUUGAUAAUGAGAUGUUAUUCCUCUCUCUACUCACGCGAUAAUAAUCUCGAUGAGUGUUGCAAUUAUUUUCCCUGGGUAAUAUUUAGUGCAGUUUUCUCAUGUAUAAUUUCAUGUUUGCUUAUAUAUUAUGUUCAGUGCAGAAUUAUGUCAUAUGAUUGUGUAUAAUUAUUAAUGCACUACUUUAUUUUAAUAUAUAUAAUUAUAUCUACUCAUUGAGCUGCAAGUUCGCUAUUUUCUUAUUUAUCCAAUUUUUUCUAGGUUUUCGCAGGAUUUCAUACAGUUCAUUUUCCAUUAGUUGAGGUUGGGCCACGAUGUGCAGUGUUGCAUGACUUGCAUUUUAAGCACGUUUAUGCUCAUAUGUAUAUAUAUUUAAGAUAUAUGCAUACAUAGUGAGAUGUGAAGUGUGCAAGUUUCGAAUAUGUUUUCGGAUAAGGCAUAUAUGUUAUUAUAUAUUUUCACGUGAUUUGGAUUAGACCCAAUAGUUGGGUCGGGUGGGGUCGUAUCACACACACACUCAUGUAGUCGUUCUCUAGUGUGAGUGCCAUCAUUUUUUUCAUGCGGGCAUACUUUUAAACCAUGAUGUUUAAGAGAGUUAUGAUUUUUCACUCUUUUAAGCCGUACGGUUUAAAAGUUUAAAAGCAUGUCUGCAUUAAAAAAAAAAAAGAGAGAGAGUGCCUGCACUUGAGAAUGAUUAUGUAUAUAUUUGUAAUCAUUCUCAGGUUCGGGUGCUUUUUUUAUUUUUUAAUGUGGACACGCUGUUAAAUCGUACGAUUUAAUAACGUAUUUAGGGUUGGCAAAAACACGGGCUUGAAGCCCCGUCGACAUGAGUUGGGCCUGAUUAUGGGCUUAAAAAUACAAAGUCGGCACAUAUUGGACCUAGAUAAGGGCCUAGUUUUUUAAUUUAUAAAAAAUAAAUUAAAUUUAAAUAAAAACUCAAAAUAUUAAAUUAAUAUUUUUUUCAUAUUAGUAUUUGUGAUUAAUUAUGUUGUGUUAAUAAUAUUUUGUGUAUUAGACUAUUAUUCUAUUACUUAUUGGAUAAUUAUUUUUAAUUUAAAUAUUUUUUACUUUAUUAAAAAAUUAUUUUAUUUUUAAUGGAACAAGCCCAAGCCUGGCUCAGGGCUUGCCCGUCCAAACUUGGAAGGAUUUUUGAAGGGCCUGGGCUUGUUAUCUAUAAUAUGGGCUUGAGCCAAGGUUUGGAAAAGUCCGACACAAGUUCAUAUUUUGCCAACCUAAGCGUGUCUGCAUUGACUUUAUUAAACGUUUAAUAGUGUGUUCGCAUGAAAAAAAUGAGAGCCUCCACAUUAGAUAAGGAUUAUAUAUGUACACUUAUUAGAGUUAAUGCACUUUAGAUAUGAUUAUAUAUAAAAUCAAUGUCUUUUUUUUAUUAUUAUUAAUUAAAGAGUGAAUUUGUAGAACGAAUUUUAAAUUCGAAGAUUUUGAAUUCCUUCGUCUACGAUGUAAAAGUAUACACACAAUUAACAAUUUUGAUAAAAAUUGAAUUAAGAGUUUCUAGCAAAGAAUGCCAAAAUUCAGUCCUGCCUCUAAAUUAAUUAAGUUAUCGCCUUUUUUUUUUUUUUUGGACUUUUCGGGUGGGGGUGGGUGGCGUAUGGAAUGAACAUUUAUAUCAUGUACUGUUUGAGAUAUAAUUUGGGUUUAGAAUCACUCUUUUUCAGAAUGUUUCAACUCAUUUAUUAAGAAGGAUCCACAUGCUUGACUAAUAGGGGCUUGAAACCAGGCAGCGAAGAUGGUCCUUAAUUAUUGUAUGUAUCUAUGAUAUAUCUCAAUGUGAAAAUUUCAAUUAUUAUAAUUAUUAUAUUGAAAAAAAAAGUGAUCCCAUUAGAUGAAGAAAUCAUUGAAGUUAAAUAGUUAAAGGUCUUUAUAUAUGUAGCCUCGUUUGUUUGAAGUCUAAAGAGAUAAUAAUGUGAAAUAUAUGAUUUAGGAAAAAAAAUUGAAAUUGCACAGCUACUUUCACUUUUUGGAAACAGAAAAAGUCCACGAUUUUUUUUUUUAAAGAAUUAUACAAAUAUAAAAUUUUAGUCGAAGUUAAAAGAAUAACAUCUCUAAUUGGACAAAAUGAAACACACAUAUUUAUAUCCUGGUUAAGAAUUCAGUUUUAAUUUAUGUUUUUGCUAAACAAUGAACCAAUGGUUAUUAGGCAAAUAUUUAUAUAUAUAAUUCUGAUCACGACUCAGUAUGAAAAAAAAAAAUUCAAUAUAUAUAUAAUUCUGAUCAUGACUCAGUAUAAAAAAAAAAAUUCAAUUCAGUAUUAAAUCCUAAUCUCUAUAUCCGUACGGGUUAUAUUGAUGAUAUUGGGAUGAAUAUAUUUUAUUGAAACAGAAGUUAUAGACCUAACAUCCCUGACUGUACAGUAAUGAACUCUAUAUUACUACACUGCUAGCUUAAUUAUCAUCUAACACUGUAAUUUUAAAUAACGAACUAAAGCUUCAUAUAUUUUAGCUACUGGCUAGGUUUCUGACUUUCUGCAGCUCACUGUGUAUAUAAAGUUAAUUGUUUUCAGAAAAGAAUCAGGCUACUGCACAUACACAUAAUUAAUUUAUGUCAAAUUAAACAAAGAAAAGAAAAAAGAAUAAAAAAAGAAAAGAAAAGAAAACGGCGGGCGGUGGCUGGCUAGCAAGAGAAUUAAUUAACGAGAAGAAAUUAAAUGAGUUAAAGAAAAUGGAUAUACAUACCUUCAGCAGGGUCAGUCGUAGCAGUGGUGUUAUUUUGAGCGUUGGAUAAACAAAUUAGCAGGAAGAGAUGAGCGAAUAGUAGUGAGGAAGAAAGCAGCAGCUUCAACGAUCCCACUCCAAAAUUCAUCUUCAUUUCUCGUUACAAUUUACAAACCCAGAAUAAGGAGAAUUUAAUGCUAAUUUUUGAAUCUAUAGUUUUGUUGAAGUUAAAGAAUAUGUAGAAGAAGAAGCUGGCCAGAGUCGGUCAAUAUUUGUUUUUUUUUGUUUUUUCAGUGGUGCAUGCAUUUUAAGUCGUUCCAUCUAUCAAAGAAAAGUCGUUCAAAAACAAAAUAAAAAAUAAAAUGUAUCAGAAUUGACCAAAUUCAACUCUCAUAUGUGCAUAAUAAAAACAAUAUAAUACAUUGCAUCUUAACCAAUACGAUGAAAUCUUAGUGUCUCUUUCCCCACCCUCACCAGAUUAUUAUUAUCCACAGCACUUUUGCUGACGCAAACUCAACAUAAAAUUGUAUCAACAUAUUCAAUUUAGAAGAACGCAGAGUAUUACUCCCAGGGACACAGUACAUCUGUACACACCCAGCGCAGAAGAGGGGAAAAACAAUAUCUGCACAUGCUGAAGAAGCAAAGCAAUGAAUUAAUCAGAGUCUAGACGUUGGCUGAAUUGUCAGGCUUGAAUUUAGUAGCAGCAGCAGCAGGAGGGGAUGGGUAAGUGAAUGUAGUAGCUUCACUGCCUGUGCCUGGCUGUCAAGGAAGCUCAUAUUUGCAAGAUGGUCAGUAGAGCAGAGGAUCACAGCAGCAGCCACAUUCAGUUACGAGUUGAUGACAUGGCAUGCCAGCUGGAGCCUGGUGGUUAUGUAAAUAGUUGUGCAUGUGUUAAUUAGCUUAAGCUGAUAUGAUUAGUUGUCAGAAUUAGUUAAUUAGCUGUAGCUAAUUACAACUAUUUGAGCUGAGCUUCAACUUAGUAUAAAUAACAACAACAUUGUACAUAUUAUUAAUAACAUGAUUAAUGAAAAUGAUGUUCUAGAAAACUCUUAGAUUCAGUUCUUAUUUUCUCACUGAUUUUCUCAGUUGCCAAAAAAUAUUUUCGUUCUUCAACUUGGUAUCAGAGCUAGUAGCAAUGGCUUCAGUCCAUCUAGCUUCUUUUUCUUCUCAAGCGCCAGUCAAUCACACAACUGUUAACUCAACAAAUGUGACAUUUACUUUCAAUACACCUAUUGAGUUAGAUCAAUCCAAUUAUUUGAUUUGGCGAUCUCAAGUUCUUGCUUUAAUUUGUGGCAACAGACUUGAGAAAUUCAUUGAUGACUCAACCACUCCACCUCCUUCACAUAUUGCUAAAAGAAUUAGAGAUGAUAUGAGAUUUGUAGAGAAUCUAGACUUUAUAACUUGGAGAUCACAAGAUCAAGUGCUUCUUGGCUGGUUGCUUUCUUCAAUGAGUGAAGGUAUCAUUAGUCUAGUCUUCAAUCUAGAGACUUCUCGUGAGGUAUGGAAAGAUAUUGAAGUUCAGUUUGGAUCACAAUCUAAAUCUAGGCUUCUGCACUUGAGAUAUAUGAUGAACUCAACUAGGAAAGAUGAUCUAAAAAUUACUAAUUAUUUCAUUAAGAUGAAAAAUAUUGUUGAUAAUAUGGCUGCAGCAGGAAAUGCAUUAAGUGAUGAUGAUUUAAUUCUGCAUAUACUCUUUGGCUUAGUCCAGAUUAUAACUCUGUUGCUACCUACAUUACUGGACAAGUAAGAGUGGGGAAAAUGAAUGUAAACGAAGCUUAUGCUAUGCUCCUAACUCAAGAAGUUAGGAUUGAACAACAAACUUAUAUGCUGGCUAAUACAGAUGUGAAACAAAAUUUUGAGGCUAAUCUUGCUCACAAUAGAGGUUAUAAAAGGGGAAAUAUGUCAGGAGGAAAAGGUUUUGGUGGCUUUGGAUAUAAUUCUAGCUAUGGAAACAUUAACAGUGCUAGCUAUAAAGGAGGUUAUGGAGGCUCUGGAUUUAAUGCUAACAGUGGAAAUGCUUAUGGCACCAAUCAUCAGUUCAAAGCUUAUCAAGGAGAUAAUCAGAGAGGUGGAGGAGGAGGUAACUGGAAUCAAAAUGCUUGAAAUAGUGGAUUUAACAAUAGUAGACCACCUGGAAACAUUAAACCUCAGUGGAAUGUCUCUAAGCCAACCUGUCAAAUCUGUUUCAGAAUAGGUCACACUGUUAAUAUUUGCUAGAAACUUGAAGAGUUUAUUGCAUCUGGAGCUUACAGACCACCACCAAAUAGAAAUCCAAAAUCUACAUAUUUGGCUAAUAUGGAGGGACCUGCUGAUGCAAAUUAGUAUCUGGAUAGUGGUGCAACACACCAUCUGACAAAUGACAUCAACAAUAUGCAUGUUUCUAAAGCUUUUGUAGGUACAUCUAAACUUUUUGUUGGCAAUGGUGCUGGAUUAAAUAUAACACAUAUUGGAAGUGCUGCAUCGAAAUCAUAUAACUCCAAUAAUGCCUCCUUAACUCUUAAACUAAAUGAUAUCCUUUUAGUGCCACAAAUUACUAAAAACCUCAUUAGCAUCUCUAAGCUCACAAAAGAUAAUGAUGUUGUGAUAGAGUUUACUGAUAACUUUUGUUUUGUGAAGGACAAGGUGAGGAAUUUGAUCAUACUGCAGGGCAAGGCUGAAAAACGUUUAUACAAAUUGCUAUUGGUUUCAUCUAAUAAGAUAGUCUCUUCUACUUCUAAUCAAAGCUAUGUUGUUGAGUUAAUUGUAUCAACCACUCCUCUUUCAAUGUUUUCAGUUGUCUAUUCUACUCUUUCAAAUAACACCUCUUGCCUGUAUACUGCAGCAACUUCCUGUAAAAUUUGAGUGUCUGUUAAGUACAUCUGUACUGCAUCAAAGAUUGGGAUAUCUAUCUUCUAAGAUCUUGAAUCAUGUAAUCAAAUCAUGUUCAUCUCUCAAUCUUGUCAAUAAGAAUAAAACCUUUUAUUUAUGUGAUGCUUGUAAAAUAGGAAAAAUGCACAAGCUUCAUUUUCGAGCUACUGAUAUCAAAAUAAAGUCUCCCCUGGAAAUAUUACAUACUGAUUUAUGGGGACCAGCCCCUGUGAUUUCAUUAUAAGGCUACGUAUAUUAUGUAAGCUUUGUUGAUGAUUUCACAAGAUUUACUUGGAUAUUUCCUUUGAAAACCAAAAGUAAAACAUUGUCAGUCUUUAAAAUUUUCAAAAACCAAAUUGAAAAACAACUUGACAGACCUAUAAAAUGUCUUCAAUCAGACUGGGGUGGAGAAUUUAGAUCUUUUGUUAACUUUCUUCACACUGAGGGAAUUCACUUUAGACAUUCAUGUUCAUAUACUCAUAACAAAAAUGGAAUAGUAGAGAGAAAUCAUAGACAUAUUACUGAACUUGUCUUACUCUACUUGCACAAGCAACUUUACCUAUUAAAUUCUAGUGGGAUUCUUUCCAUACAGCCACAUACAUCAUAAACAGAUUACCCACCCCAAUUCUAUCAAUGAAAUCUCCUUAUGAAUCUAUUUAUCAUCUUCCUCCAGAUUACAAAUUCUUAAGAACAUAUGGAUGUUCAUGUUUUCCCUUUCUCAGAAACUACAAUCAACACAAGUUUCACUCUCAUACAUCUAAAUGUAUUUUCCUAGGGUAUAGUCCUUUGCAUAAGGGUUACAAAUGUCUCAAUCCCUCUGGUAAAAUCUAUAUAGCUAGUCAUGUUAUUUUUUUAUGAAACCUCAUUUCCAUAUUCAUCUAUUUUCAGCUCAUAUUCUCCAUCCAAAUCUUCUGAAUUUCAAUACAAUCUUCUUCAACAGUAUAUCAUUCAUGUUUCCAAUAGCAAUUUAAACACCUUUGAAGUUGAUACUGUAGAUAAUGAUACAUAUUCUCAUCACCUUCAUACCAUAUCUUCACCACCCUCUCACAAUACAUCAUCUCAACCCUCACCACUUGCUACUUUAUCCCAUUCAGCCAUAACUUCUUCACCAACUCAACCAAUUCCCUUUAUACCUCUAACUGAUACAACACAAAAUACAUCAUCCUUACAACCCAUCAUAUCUCACUCUCAAAUUCAACCAACACACUUAUCUAAACCUAAACCAAUUCUCUCCACACAUAAAAUGAUCACUAGAGCAGAGGCUGGGAUAUUCAAACCGAAAGCCUACUUAACAAAUAACAACAGCCUGGAACCAUCUACUGUUUCAGAAGCAUUAUUUGAUCCCAAAUGGAAAGCAGCAAUGCAAACUGAAUAUAAUGAUAUGAUUAAAAACAAAACUUGGAAUCUUGUGGCUUUGUGCUCAUCCUAUAAACUAGUUGGGUGCAAAUGGGUGUUCAGAACCAAGUACAUCAUAGAUGGCUCAGUUUCAAAAUAUAAAGCUAGGUUGGUAGCCAAGAGAUUUCAUCAAACUACAUGUAUUGAUUAUUCAGAAACAUUCAGUCCUGUAGUGAAGUCCUCAACAAUGAGAUUAAUUCUUAGCCUAGCUGUCAUGAAAGGUUAGACAAAUUGAUGUCAAUAAUGCCUUUUUAAAUGGGGAUUUGUCAGAGGAUAUGUAUAUAAUUCAGCUUGAGGGUUUUGUAUCCAAAGAAGGCUACAUAUUCAAGCUUAACAAGGCACUAGAUGGAUUGAAACAAGCUCCAAGAGCUUGGUAUGAUAAACUGAAAAGCUGUCUUACUACUUGGAAAUUCUUCAAUUCUAAAGCUGACACAUCUCUCUUUGUUAAACAUGAUGAAAAAGGCAUUAUUAUUGUCUUAAUCUAUGUUGAUGAUAUUUUGGUUACUAGCCCUGACUCAGCAUUACUUGAAGAUUUCAUUAUUAAACUCAGUAAGGUUUUUGCUCUCAAGGACUUGGGAUUAGUGGCCUAUUUUCUUGGAGUAGAAGUUUGUUACACAACUCAUGGAAUGCAUCUUUCACAGACAAAAUAUAUUAAGGAUUUGUUAAAUAAAGCCUCAAUGCAAAAUUGCAAAGGAUCAGAUACACCUUUUAGUACUGGUUUCAAAUUGGAGAAAAAUAUUAAGGGUCCAUUUGGGCAAGAAUUUGAAGAACCAGCACUUUAUGGAAGCAUCAUUGGGGGACUUCAGUACUUAAUUCUCACCAGGCCUGACAUUGCAUAUUCUGUACAUAAACUCAACCAGUAUCUUAGCAAUCUUACACUCCAGCACUGGUUAGCAUGCAAGAAAGUUCUCAGGUAUCUUCAAGCUACAACCACUCAUGGUUUAUACAUUCAAAAUGAGGGAACACUUGGAAUUGCAGGUCUAACAGGUUACUCUGAUGCUAACUUGGCACGUGAUGUUGAUGAUCAAAAUCUAUUGGAGCUUACUGUAUUUACCUUGGUAAUAAUCUGAUUUCCUGGUCAUCAAAGAAGCAAGUUAUUGCAGCUAAGUCCAGCACAGAGAGUGAAUACAGGGCACUAUCUUCAGCAAGUUCAGAACUCUCUUGGUUGCAAUCCCUACUAUCAGAGCUUAAUAUUGUGCAAUUACCAACUCCAAUUCUUUGGUGUGACAAUCAGAGUGCUGGAGAAUUAGCCCGAAAUCAUAUUCUUCACUCUAAAUCUAAACACAUUGAAUUGGGUGUUCAUUACAUUAGAGACAAAGCGCUUGGAAAAGAAUUAGAAGUAAAAUACAUUCCUACUGAAGAACAAGUUGUUGAUGUCCUUACUAAAGCUCUGUCAUUUAUCAAGUUUAACUACUUUUGAUUCAAGCUCAAUGUCAUCAACAGGCCAUUGAGCUUGAGGGGAGGAUGUGAAGGAAGCUCAUAUUUGCAAGAUGGUCAGCAGAGCAGAGGAUCACAGCAGCAGCCAUAUUCAGUUACGAGUUGAUGACAUGGCAUGCCAGCUAGAGCCUGGUGGUUAUGUAAAUAGUUGUGCAUGUGUUAAUUAGCUUAAGCUGUUAUGAUUAGUUGCUAGAAUUAGUUAAUUAGCUGUAGCUAAUUACAACUAUCUGAGUUGAGCUUCAGCUUAGUAUAAAUAGCAACAGCAUUGUACAUAUUAUUAAUAACGUGAUUAAUGAAAAUGAUGUUCUAGAAAACCCUUAGAUUCAGUUCUAAUUUUCUCACUGAUUUUCUCUGUUGCCAAACAAUAUUUUCGUUCUUCUAACUCUGGCGGAGGCGCUGGCACCCCAAAAACUUGUGGAUUGGUUCUGAUAUCUUGUCUUCCUCUAGCUCUUCCCAAGUAAAAGCACCCAAAUCCAAGCAAUAGGCUGAACAACAUCAACGGAAUGAUAUCACCACCACCAUACCCAUCUUUAUUUGAUUUGAUGAUCAGAAAUCGCAGCAGAAGAGAGGUUUAUAUAAGAAUAAGAGAAUGAGAGAGAGCUAUGAAUGAACUAUGAUGAUGAUGAUGACGAUGAUACGGAGGUUUCGGAUUCUCUCUUCUUUUAAGAACAUGUUUCUUUCUUAACGGUUGGCUUAACGUUCAAGCUCUAACGGUUACUUUUAUUGUUGGGCCAGUUAAAUAAUUCUCCUAAUACAAAACAAGGUUAAAUAAAUAUUGAGAUGGCUAUUCAUCCCGCAAUUAUAAAGGUAUAGUAUUUUGUUCAUUCUUGUUUAAAAAAAAAAAAAAAAGACUCUAUAGAGUUCAAUGUAUGGAGCCUUCUCAUGGUGUUCGGAUUCAACAUGUGCCAAAGUCCUCUAAUCAGCCGACCCAUUUUCUAUCUAAACUAACUUUUAACUGAAAGCUAUGAUUUCAUAAUUUUUAAACCAGUGUACUGGAAAAUGAAGCGAAAAAGAAGAUGGAAAGAUGAAGAAUAAUAAUACAACAUGCUUGUUACCUCAAUACAUUAAUAAGGGUAAUUAACGGUCUACAAAUACAUUUUGUUUAUUAUUUUGAGGACUUGUUUCAUUUUAUUUACGUGCAUUGAUGUCUUCCCAAAAUCAGAAGUUUUUAAUGAACUUCGAGAAUGUUGCCUGCCACUCGUCGUCAUAGAACAGUAUUUCGUGCUGCACAUAUGCAUGUACUGUAAUUGCUAGAAAUAGCUCGACGGGAGAAAUUUAAGGCACCAUAAGAAGCAGAUCAUUCCACCGGCACAAGGCUGCUUUUGUUUCAGAAGCUGGCAAAUAGUGGAUCAUAGCCGCGACGCGACAAAAUUAUUUCUCACCUCCCUUCUGCUAAAAUAUCAGUUAGCUGUGUGACAUUUACCGGGGAGACUAAUGCAUCAGUUCCUUCACUGUGAUCAUCAACUGGAUUUUCUCUUUGGCUUUUCUCCUUGCUGUUACGUCUUUUAAUAGAUGAUGAAGGCGUUGGCGUGUCUUCUUUCAAAAAGCUUGCUGUUAUAUCUUUAAAAUCCCAAUCUGUCAAAUAACUUGGCUUUGAAAUAACCGAGCCAACUUCUAUAUCCCCAGCAAGCAUGGCCACAACGCGUGACAUUGGUGGCCUCAUCAUUGGCGAUGCUUGAGUGCACAAGAGAGCUACUCCUAUCACUCGAAGAGCUUCCAUGUCGUUAAACUCUGUUAAUGUAGGAUCUACAAGCCCCAAACUUUGAUUAUUUUCAUGGAGAUUCCAGGCCUAGAAACAUCAUAUAGACAAUAAUUCAGUUAAAGAUUUAAAGAAUUAACUUUCCUUUAACCAGAACAAUGCAGAUAUAAGAAAGGAAAGAAUGCAGAAUGAAGUUCAAGAUUAUUUUCUUCACCCAUUCGAGAAGAUAAAUCUUUUCCGUAUCCAAGCUGUUGUCGGAGUUUGCUCUUCCACUGAUGAUCUCCAACGCAACAACGCCAAAACUGAAAACAUCGGCCUUCUCUGUCAAGUGUCCGCGCAUUGCAUACUCCGGUGCCAAAUAGCCACUACAAGAUCAAUAGUUACCGAUCAAAAUCUCCAAACUCCAUUGUAUCCAAAAAUUGGAAGAUAAGGCCUGUAUGGAAUUAUCAUUUUUGGAAGAAUGGUAAGAAGAAAUGUUAAAGGAGAUUACACGGUCCCUGCAACUCUUGUGCUGAUGUGGGUUUUCUUGUCAUCAUACAGCUUUGCCAAUCCAAAAUCCGAUAUCUUGGGGCAGAGCUCUGCAUCAAGUAAAAUAUUACUUGCUUUGACAUCUCGAUGUACAAUCCUGGGCCUGGAAUCUUCGUGAAGAUAAGCCAGCCCUCUUGCUGUUCCCAAGCAUAUGCUGAACCUGGUAGGCCAAUCCAGAUGCAAUUCAUUGUCUCCUGCAGAAAUGUUGGCUGCAGUGGUUAGAAAUUUAUGGAGUUACAGAAGGACAAAAUUGAUAACUCUAGGAUAAUUUAUCUGCAUGAGAUCUCACUGAGACAUUGUCAAUCAGCUUUAGGAUAGUGAUUGUGGCUAAUUUGCAGUUAUGGACAUUGUCUAAACAAUAGAUUUUGGAUUUAAGAUUACAAAAUAGAUCAUGCAAUUUCCAAAAGUCGGUGACUCAGCACUUUCUUCUUUGAAUUCUUUGCCUCAGCAACCAAGCUAAAACAUGGUGUUUGCGCUAUUUUCUACUACUUAUUAGUAGUAAGAUGAAUUGAUUAUCAUACCGAACAAUACUUGAUCGAGGCUUUUGUUUUCAAGAUACUCAUAAACAAGGAGGCGCCUGGCUCCUUCAAUGCAGAAUCCAUACAAUCUCACAAGACUGCGAUGUUGCACUGCAGAUAUGGUUGUAAUCUCAUUUACAAAUUGAUUCUUCCCUUGGUGAGAUGCUAUUGAAAGUUGCUUCACAGCUAUUACUCUUCCGUCAGAUAGAGUACCCUGUCAAGUGCAACAUUUAGCAAUUUGAAAAAUAUCCACUAUAUCCCAGUGAAAAUUGGAAAGCAUCAACUAAGUUUUCUAGUUGCAAUGUCAGGCUAUGAUCACGGAUUAAAAGUACUACAUGGCAAAGCCAGCGUGCAAGAAAACUGUCAAUUGGCUGUAAUCUUAAUAUAUAUAUAGUUACCUUGUACACAGGUCCAUAUCCUCCCUCUCCAAGCUUGUUUGAUGGGUCAAAAUCUUUUGUUGCAGAUCUCAACUCAGCAUAGCUGAAAGUGUUUGGUUUAGAUUCUAUCCCAACUAGCACUGCGGGCUCAACCAAGACAAAAAUUAGGGACAAUAGCAUAGGAUGGGAUACCACAACGGUUUGCGGAUAUCAAGAUCCCCAAAUAAUGAAGGAUUUAUAUGACAAAAGAUGAAUUAAGCAGAACAUUUACCAAUAUCAAAUUACAAAUUCAUUGAGUUUCAUGAACAAGCUUGCUACAACUACUAUUACAUAUUGUUAAAUUGUCAAUGGACUCUUAUUACCUUCCUCAUCAUCGUUGUCUUUUUUUCUCCGCAUGUAGAACACUAUAGAUAUCACUAUCAAGCCCAAAAUUCCAAGAGGUACUGCAAUACCAACAAUCAUUCCUGUGUGGUUCUUAUUCCCCGGAGUACCUGGGGGUAAUCCACUUACAGAUGGUUUGAAAGCUGAGAAGUAAAAACUCAGUUAUUAGGAGCAAAGAAGCAUGUAAGCCAUUUUAUUUAUUAUAUUCCAUCUUAAAUGAAGAUUCACAGGAAUCAUAUGCUUUACCUGAAACGGCACUGAGAGCUGAAAUUGCUGGUCCAUAAUCACCUUGAGUAGGUACGCAGCAGGUCCCUUUACCAGCCCAUAAUAGGUGAAUUUCAAGAUGGUUUUCUGACACAGCGGCAUUGAAAUUCUUUAUAAUAGCUCUGUUAGGCCCUCCCGCCUCCUUUGAUAUGUCAAAAUCCUUCCACCGGAGAGUUCCCU
rnacentral:lncRNA from 1 species